AGAGUUUGAUCAUGGCUCAGGAUGAACGCCAGCGGCAGGCCUAACACAUGCAAGUCGAGGGGGCGAUCGGGGAGUUGAAGCUUGCUUCAAUUGCCGGCGACCGGCGCACGGGUGCGUAACGCGUAUGUAACCUACCUAUAACAGGGGCAUAACACUGAGAAAUUGGUACUAAUUCCCCAUAAUAUUCGGAGAGGCAUCUCUCCGGGUUGAAAACUCCGGUGGUUAUAGAUGGACAUGCGUUGUAUUAG
rnacentral:rRNA from 1 species